AGAGUUUGAUCCUGGCUCAGAUUGAACGCUGGCGGCAUGCCUUACACAUGCAAGUCGAACGGCAGCACGGGGGCAACCCUGGUGGCGAGUGGCGAACGGGUGAGUAAUAUAUCGGAACGUACCCAGUAGUGGGGGAUAACUAUCCGAAAGGAUAGCUAAUACCGCAUACGAUCUGUGGAUGAAAGCAGGGGAUCUUCGGACCUUGUGCUAUUGGAAUGGCCGAUAUCUGAUUAGCUAGUUGGUAGGGUAAAAGCCUACCAAGGCGACGAUCAGUAGCUGGUCUGAGAGGACGACCAGCCACACUGGAACUGAGACACGGUCCAGACUCCUACGGGAGGCAGCAGUGGGGAAUUUUGGACAAUGGGGGC
rnacentral:rRNA from 1 species